CCUCAGGGAGAACUCCAAUGGCGUCUGUGUCAGCACGCCCACACCAGGCCACAACAAUGGCCGCCGCCACUGUCCCAGUCCCUGGAGAGGUCUCACCUCUCACUCCAAUGCCCUCAGAGCCUAUCAGACACUUAUCAGCAAAUAUUUAUUGGUGAUACCUUUGAGUGAAGAUAUGUUUCACCUAUCUACAGAAUAGAAGACGAAGCAUUGGUCAUAGUUGGAAAGAGUGUGACAGAGGGAUCAGAAGGGAGAGCACCUGUAGUCCCUAGAAAAUAAAUCUGUAUCAUUUGAGUCAUUGCCUGAGUCAAAGAAGAAGGGAUAGUUUAGAAGACAUAAGUGAGUGCCUCCUUUCAUCCAAUAUUACCCAUUCCCUUUUCAUCCUAAGAGGUAAUAAAAGGUUACUGCAGUGCCAGUGUCAUGCGUAACAUAGGAUUUUGGACAACAGAAAGGUUCCUUAGACCGUUGAAAGUCCUCCUUUUUUUAAAAUUGCAUUUAUGUGGGUCAUAUAGCCUUUUCUUAUGAGCUUAUAUAUU